rnacentral:rRNA from 1 species
GAUGAACGCUGGCGGCGUGCCUAAUACAUGCAAGUAGAACGCUGAAGCUUGGUGCUUGCACCGAGCGGAUGAGUUGCGAACGGGUGAGUAACGCGUAGGUAACCUGCCUCUUAGCGGGGGAUAACUAUUGGAAACGAUAGCUAAUACCGCAUAAAAGUCGAUAUCGCAUGAUAUUGAUUUGAAAGGUGCAAAUGCAUCACUAAGAGAUGGACCUGCGUUGUAUUAGCUAGUUGGUGAGGUAACGGCUCACCAAGGCGACGAUACAUAGCCGACCUGAGAGGGGGAGCGGCCACACUGGGACUGAGACACGGCCCAGACUCCUACGGGAGGCAGCAGUAGGGAAUCUUCGGCAAUGGGGGCAACCCUGACCGAGCAACGCCGCGUGAGUGAAGAAGGUUUUCGGAUCGUAAAGCUCUGUUGUAAGAGAAGAACGAGUGUGAGAGUGGAAAGUUCACACUGUGACGGUAACUUACCAGAAAGGGACGGCUAACUACGUG